rnacentral:rRNA from 1 species
GAGUUUGAUCCUGGCUCAGAUUGAACGCUGGCGGCAGGCCUAACACAUGCAAGUCGAACGGUAACAGGAAGAAGCUUGCUUCUUUGCUGACGAGUGGCGGACGGGUGAGUAAUGUCUGGGAAACUGCCUGAUGGAGGGGGAUAACUACUGGAAACGGUAGCUAAUACCGCAUAACGUCGCAAGACCAAAGAGGGGGACCUUCGGGCCUCUUGCCAUCGGAUGUGCCCAGAUGGGAUUAGCUAGUAGGUGGGGUAACGGCUCACCUAGGCGACGAUCCCUAGCUGGUCUGAGAGGAUGACCAGCCACACUGGAACUGAGACACGGUCCAGACUCCUACGGGAGGCAGCAGUGGGGAAUAUUGCACAAUGGGCGCAAGCCUGAUGCAGCCAUGCCGCGUGUAUGAAGAAGGCCUUCGGGUUGUAAAGUACUUUCAGCGGGGAGGAAGGGAGUAAAGUUAAUACCUUUGCUCAUUGACGUU